rnacentral:misc_RNA from 1 species
CAACUUGUGCUAAUGACCCUGUGGGUUUUACACUUAAAAACACAGUCUGUACCGUCUGCGGUAUGUGGAAAGGUUAUGGCUGUAGUUGUGAUCAACUCCGCGAACCCAUGCUUCAGUCAGCUGAUGCACAAUCGUUUUUAUAAGGGUUUGCGGUGUAAGUGCAGCCCGUCUUACACCGUGCGGCACAGGCACUAGUACUGAUGUCGUAUACAGGGCU